rnacentral:sRNA from 1 species
CAGCUACUCAUGAGACUGAGGCAGGAGAAUCAUUUGAACCCGGGAAGCGGAGGUUGCAGUGAGCUGAGAUCAUACCACCGAGCUCCAGCCUGGGCGACAGAGCGAGACCAUGUCAAAAAAAAAAAACAGGAGUGGGACUGUCUGGUUCUGGCCUGAUCAUGGAAUUCUGGGGACACGGGGUGAAGGUAUCUGUGGGUGCUAGAUCUGGCUUUGCAUCCAGCCAUGGCCUGGACUCACUGGCUUUUCCCGCCUGUGAGUCCUUGAGAGAUGGACAGAAGGUUCUAGACCUGUGAGGGCCGGGCUGCUUGGAUGGUUCUAGAACAGUGGGCUGUGCUUCCUGGCUGGAGAGUGCUAAGCCACCAGCUAGAACACUGUGUCUCCCGGCCAUCUCGGAGAGCGCAGCCCUGGGGCAGAGCCUGUGGGAGUGGGCCCCUGAGGGCCAACCCUCUCCGCUGUCGCCCUCAGUGCCUGGUCCCUGUGACCAUGAAGACCUCCUGGACGGUGUCAUAUUUGGGGCCAGGUACCUGGGGUCCACCCAGCUGGUGUCGGAACGGAACCCGCCCACCAGCACGCGCAUGGCCCAGGCCCGGGAGGCCAUGGACCGUGUCAAGGCCCCCGAUGGGGAGACCCAGCCCAUGACGGAGGUGGACCUGUUCGUCUCCACCAAGAGGAUCAAGGUCUUGACAGCGGACUCCCAGGAGGCCAUGAUGGACCACGCCCUGCAUACCAUCUCCUACAUAGCCGACAUCGGCCGCGUGCUGGUGCUGAUGGCGCGGCGGCGGCUGGCGCGGAGGCCGGCACCCCAGGACCACGGCCGCCGCCUCUACAAGAUGCUCUGCCAUGUGUUCUACGCGGAGGACGCCCAGCUCAUUGCCCAGGCCAUCGGCCAGGCCUUCGCUGCCGCCUACAGCCAGUUCCUACGGGAAAGCGGUAUUGACCCCAGCCAGGUGGGCGCGCACCCGAGCCCAGGCGCCGGCCACCUCCACAACGGGGACCUGGACCACUUCUCCAACAGUGACAACUGCCGAGAGGUGCACCUCGAGAAGCAGCGAGGGGAGGGCCUGGGCGUGGCCCUGGUGGAGUCGGGCUGGGGCUCCCUGCUGCCCACAGCCGUCAUCGCCAACCUGCUGCAUGGGGGGCCUGCCGAGCGCUCGGGGGCCCUCAGCAUCGGGGACCGCCUGACUGCCAUCAACGGGACCAGCCUGGUGGGGCUGCCUCUGGCUGCAUGCCAGGCUGCUGUCCGCGAGACGAAGUCGCAGACGUCGGUGAUACUCAGCAUCGUCCACUGCCCACCCGUCACCACCGCCAUCAUCCACCGGCCCCAUGCCCGCGAGCAGCUGGGCUUCUGCGUGGAGGAUGGCAUCAUCUGCAGCCUCCUCCGUGGCGGCAUCGCCGAGCGUGGGGGCAUCCGCGUCGGCCACCGCAUCAUUGAGAUCAAUGGGCAGAGUGUGGUGGCCACGCCACAUGCCCGCAUCAUCGAGCUGCUCACCGAGGCCUACGGCGAGGUGCAUAUCAAGACGAUGCCAGCUGCCACAUACCGCCUCCUUACAGGCCAGGAGCAGCCCGUGUACCUGUGACCACCUCGUCCCUUGCCUGCCACCGUGCCUUCGCCUCCAUGGCCCCGGAGCCCCAUCCUGGGCCUGCCCUGGCUGGCCAGGACCCCAGUGGUUCUUGGUCCUGUAUGAUUUCCUAAUAUAAAAACAGUAAAAGCUUAUGCAGUUGGCAAAGUCUCAGAUCAGGGUCUAUGGGACUGAGGACUUGUCCUUCCCGGAAGCCACUAGAA